UGAUCAAGCAAAAAAGAGCGCAGGGUGGAUGCCUUGGCACCAAGAGCCGAUGAAAGACGUGAUAAGCUGCGAAAAGCUGCGGUGAGCUGCACAUAAGCCAUGACCCGCAGAUGUCUGAAUGGGGAAACCUGCUGCGAGCGAUCGCAGCGUCAUAACGUAAAUCCAUAGCGUUAUGAAGGGAACCCGGUGAACUGAAACAUCUAAGUAGCCGGAGGAAGAGAAAGAAACAUUCGAUUCCGGGAGUAGCGGCGAGCGAAACCGGAAGAGCCCAAACCACGGUGCGUGCACUGUGGGGUUAGGACCGCAUAAAUGAUCCGUUGAUCUUAGCAGAACUGUUUUGGAAGAGCAGGCCGUAGAGGGUGAGAGCCCCGUAAGCGAAAGGAGAGACGGCAUGGCGGUAUCCAGAGUAGGACGGGACACGAGAAACCCUGUCUGAACAUGCGGAGACCACUCCGUAAGGCUAAAUACUACUUGGUGACCGAUAGCGCAUAGUACUGUGAAGGAAAGGUGAAAAGGACCCCGGGAGGGGAGUGAAAGAGAACCUGAAACCCUGUGUUUACAAACAGUGGAAGGCCGCAAGGCCGACCGCGUACUUUUUGUAGAACGGUCCGGCGAGUUGCGCGGACUGGCGAGGUUAAGGCACGAAGUGCCGGAGCCGAAGGGAAACCAAGUCUUAACAGGGCGAUCAAGUCAGUUAGUGCAGACCCGAAACCGGGUGACCUACCCAUGUCCAGGAUGAAGCCGCCGUAAAAGGCGAUGGAGGUCCGAACGCACACCUGUUGAAAAAGAUGGCGAUGAGGUGUGGGUAGGGGAGAAAUUCCAAUCGAACCCGGAGAUAGCUGGUUCUCCUCGAAAUAGCUUUAGGGCUAGCCUCGGUGCAGUCUUAUGGAGGUAGAGCACUGAAUUUCCGCGGGAGCGUCAAAGCUUACCAAAGAAUAUCAAACUCCGAAUGCCAUGUAGAUGAUCACCGGGAGUCAGACUAUACGAGAUAAGUUGGAUGGUCAAAAGGGAAACAGCCCAGACCACCGGCUAAGGUCCCAAAGUGCGUGUUAAGUGGUAAAGGAUGUGGGAUUUCAAAGACAACCAGGAUGUUGGCUCAGAAGCAGCCAUUCAUUCAAAGAGUGCGUAACAGCUCACUGGUCGAGAGGUCCUGCGCCGAAAAUGUCCGGGGCUGAAACACGACACCGAAGCCGUGGAAUUAUAAUAAUUGGUAGAGGAGCAUUCAGGAGUCAGCGAAGCUGUACCGAUAAGGAGCAGUGGAGAUGCCUGAAGAGAGAAUGCCGGAAUGAGUAGCGAGAGGAAGGUGUGAAUCCUUCCGGCCGAAUAUCUGAGGUUUCCAGGGUAAAGCUGAUCUGCCCUGGGUAAGUCGGGACCUAAGGCGAGGCCGCGAGGCGUAGCCGAUGGAAAGCAGGUUUAAGAUUCCUGCACCCUGUACAGACAGAACUGUGGGGACGCAGAGGGAAAGCGCGAGCCGGGAAUGGAAAGACCGGUGCAAGCAGAGGAGGCGCAUGGGCAGCAAAUCUCCCAUGCAAGCCAAAGCUGUGAUGCGGAGCGAACUAUAAAGUAGCGAAGCGCGUGAGCCAGCUGCCGAGAAAAGCCGCUAUCGUUCUGUAUGGGCCCGUACCGCAAACCGACACAGGUAGAUGAGGAGAGAAUCCUAAGGCCGACGGAAGAAGCAUUGUUAAGGAAUUCGGCAAAAUGACCCCGUAACUUCGGGAUAAGGGGUGCCUUCAGAGAUGGAGGCCGCAGAGAAUAGGCUCAAGCAACUGUUUAGCAAAAACACAGGUCUAUGCGAAACCGAAAGGUGAAGUAUAUGGGCUGACGCCUGCCCGGUGCUGGAAGGUUAAGAGGAGAAGUCAGCGCAAGCGAAGCUUUGAAUUCAAGCCCCAGUAAACGGCGGCCGUAACUAUAACGGUCCUAAGGUAGCGAAAUUCCUUGUCGGGUAAGUUCCGACCCGCACGAAAGGCGUAAUGAUUUGAGCACUGUCUCGACAAUGCAUCCGGUGAAAUUGAAGUACCAGUGAAGAUGCUGGUUACCCGCGCCAGGACGGAAAGACCCCAUGGAGCUUUACUCCAGUUUGGUACUGGGAUUCGGUGAUGCAUGCACAGGAUAGGUGGGAGGCUGAGAGACGAGUGCUCCGGCAUUCGAAGAGCCGCUGUUGGGAUACCACCCCUGCAUCAUUGGAUUUCUAACCAGCCGCCGUGAACCGGCGGUGGGACAAUGCCAGGCGGGGAGUUUGACUGGGGCGGUCGCCUCCGAAAGGGUAUCGGAGGCGCUCAAAGCUUGCCUCAGAAUGGUCGGAAACCAUUUGAAGAGUGCAAAGGCAGAAGGCAGGCUGACUGCGACACCGACGGGUGGAGCAGAUGCGAAAGCAGGACUUAGUGAUCCGGUGGUAUAAAGUGGGAUUGCCAUCGCUCAACGGAUAAAAGCUACCCUGGGGAUAACAGGCUUAUCACUCCCAAGAGUUCACAUCGACGGAGUGGUUUGGCACCUCGAUGUCGGCUCAUCGCAUCCUGGAGCUGUAGCAGGUUCCAAGGGUUGGGCUGUUCGCCCAUUAAAGCGGUACGCGAGCUGGGUUCAGAACGUCGUGAGACAGUUCGGUCCCUAUCCGGCGCGGGCGGAGGAUAUUUGAAGGGAGCUGCCCCUAGUACGAGAGGACCGGGGUGGACGGACCUCCAGUGUAUCAGUUGGGAACCAGUCCCAUAGCUGAGUAGCUGUGUCUGGAAGGGAUAAACGCUGAAGGCAUCUAAGCGUGAAGCCCACCCUAAGAUGAGAUAUCCCGUCUUUAAAAGACAUAAGAUCCCUUGAAGAGUACAAGGUAGAUAGGGCAGGGGUGUAAGAGCUG
rnacentral:rRNA from 1 species